rnacentral:tRNA from 1 species
AGUUAAAAAGCCAACGAUACGCCUGAUGUCUUGAAAACAUCAUGAAAGAAGUUCAAGUCUUCUAUUAACUU